rnacentral:rRNA from 1 species
UACGGAGGAUGCAAGCGUUAUCCGGAAUGAUUGGGCGUAAAGCGUCCGCAGGUGGCAAUGUAAGUCUGCUGUCAAAGCGUCUGGCUCAACCAGAUAAAGGCAGUGGAAACUACAUAGCUAGAGUAAGGUAGGGGUAGAGGGAAUUCCUGGUGUAGCGGUGAAAUGCGUAGAGAUCGGGAGGAACACCUGUGGCGAAGGCGGCCGACUGGGCCGACCCUGACGCUGAGGCGCGAAGGCGUGGGGAGCGAACGGG